CCUACGGGAGGCAGCAGUGAGGAAUAUUGGUCAAUGGACGCGAGUCUGAACCAGCCAAGUAGCGUGAAGGAAGACGGCUCUAUGAGUUGUAAACUGCUUUUAUACAGGGAUAAACGCAGACACGCGUGCCUGUCUGAAAGUAUCGUACGAAUAAGGAUCGGCUAACUCCGUGCCAGCAGCCGCGGUAAUACGGAGGAUUCGAGCGUUAUCCGGAUUUAUUGGGUUUAAAGGGUGCGUAGGCGGUCUGUUAAGUUAGUUGUGAAAGCUUGAGGCUCAACUUUGGAAUUGCCACUGAUACUGGUCGUCUAGAGAGUAGUUGCGGUAGGCGGAAUGCGUGGUGUAGCGGUGAAAUGCUUAGAGAUCACACAGAACACCGAUUGCGAAGGCAGCUUACUAAGCUACUUCUGACAUUGAUGCACGAAAGUGUGGGUAUCAAACAGGAUUAGAUACCCCAGUAGUC
rnacentral:rRNA from 1 species